GAUGAACGCUAGCUACAGGCUUAACACAUGCAAGUCGAGGGGCAGCAUUUCAGUUUGCUUGCAAACUGGAGAUGGCGACCGGCGCACGGGUGAGUAACACGUAUCCAACCUGCCGAUAACUCGGGGAUAGCCUUUCGAAAGAAAGAUUAAUACCCGAUAGUAUAAUGAAACCGCAUGGUCUUAUUAUUAAAGAAUUUCGGUUAUCGAUGGGGAUGCGUUCCAUUAGGCAGUUGGUGAGGUAACGGCUCACCAAACCUUCGAUGGAUAGGGGUUCUGAGAGGAAGGUCCCCCACAUUGGAACUGAGACACGGUCCAAACUCCUACGGGAGGCAGCAGUGAGGAAUAUUGGUCAAUGGGCGCAGGCCUGAACCAGCCAAGUAGCGUGAAGGAUGACUGCCCUAUGGGUUGUAAACUUCUUUUAUAUGGGAAUAAAGUUUUCCACGUGUGGAAUUUUGUAUGUACCAUAUGAAUAAGGAUCGGCUAACUCCGUGCCAGCAGCCGCGGUAAUACGGAGGAUCCGAGCGUUAUCCGGAUUUAUUGGGUUUAAAGGGAGCGUAGGUGGACAGUUAAGUCAGUUGUGAAAGUUUGCGGCUCAACCGUAAAAUUGCAGUUGAUACUGGCUGUCUUGAGUACAGUAGAGGUGGGCGGAAUUCGUGGUGUAGCGGUGAAAUGCUUAGAUAUCACGAAGAACUCCGAUUGCGAAGGCAGCUCACUGGACUGCAACUGACACUGAUGCUCGAAAGUGUGGGUAUCAAACCAGG
rnacentral:rRNA from 1 species